CGCGUAGGCUGUUGAGUAAGUCAAAUGUGAAAUCCCCGGGCUUAACCUGGGAACUGCAUUCGAUACUGCUUAACUAGAGUAUGGUAAAGGGAAGUGGAAUUCCGGGUGUAGCGGUGAAAUGCGUAGAUAUCCGGAGGAACACCAGUGGCGAAGGCGACUUCCUGGGCCAAUACUGACGCUGAGGUGCGAAAGCGUGGGGAGCAAACA
rnacentral:rRNA from 1 species